UCCCUGGUGCUCUAGUGGUCAGGAUUUGGCACUCUCACUACCGUGGCCUGGGUUCAAUUCCCAGCCAGGGAA